rnacentral:lncRNA from 1 species
GAGCGAGGCACCAUACGUAAAUCUUCCGCGUCGCUACGUGACGUCAGUGCGAGCGACCCCGGGCCGGCUGCGUGGAGCUGGCGCUGCCUCUCCUGAAGCCGAGGCGCUAACUUGAGUGAAGAGGUCUAUAGGCUUUUUCACUUUUGGUUAUCUGCUCAGGCGCUCCUUGGGGUCGCGCAUGGUCUCGGACAGGGUUUGCAAGGACUUCGGAGCUAACCAGUUUGGAGCCAUAACCCUUUCGUACUUGCCAAAAAACUCUGGGCAAGACUCUUGAAUUUUGAGCCGCAGUAUUCUCGUUCAUAAGGUGAGAAUAAAAACAUCACCUAGGGUUGAUGUGAAGAGAGAUGAAAUCAUUGUGAAAUAGGAGAGUUAUUGCUUUCAACCAAUGACAUUUUCUGGAAACGUGCUGGAGAUAUGGCUGCAGCAGUGACGCCUGCAAACGACGUUCCUGUCAUCAUGAUGCUGACAUUUUAAUUGGGAAGCAGAUUGAAACGAUAACUAAGGAAUUUGACAGGAGCAUUUAGUAGGACCUGUAAAGAAAUUAAAGCAGGUCCGAGGUGGAGUUUUGUAAACUAUAUGCCUGAAUAGAACUUUCUGUUUCCAAGGGAAUUGUUACAGUUGGAGACAUGUCAAUUAUUACAAUAAGCGUCAAGGGCAAUAACAGAGGUGUUUUAAAGCUACUGUCUGGUGGCAGAAUAAUCGGGAUUUUUUUGUUUGGGGGGUUUUAGCCGGGGGAGGGACUGCGAAGACAGCUCUGCAUCAAAACAGUACGUGAGAAAAAAGCAUAGGACGCUCUCGCAGCCGUAGUUGUUGGUGACAAGAAACUGUGCUUCUAAUCUAAGCAAAAAAUAUCUCCACAUGCCAACUAUACUUUUCCAAGAUGUACCAUGGACUACUCAAACUAACACAGCCUUAUUUAUGUAUUUAGGUUGGAAGUGGGCAAAAGUGUAUCUUGUCUAUGUUUCUAUGUUUCUACGUUGGGAUGACACCAUCAUCCACCCAGCCAGACAGUUAUCAACCUUCCCACUUUCUUAACCUCUUACAUCCGAUUAGACCCUAUGUCCUCUAGUUCUCAGUCUUGAGACCAGCACCCAGCUGGCUACAUCAGAAUUGCCGGUGGUGAUGUUUUAGAAGAUUCCAAAUUCCUGGACUCCAUCCCCGGAGGUUCAUCCCCUAGUUUUCUAGUGAGGGGCCUAGAACCUGCGUUUUUUAAGUGUCAUGUUCAUCGCCAUUACUGCUACUUUAGUUCAGGUCUUCUUGGUCAGCUUUUUCCUAAAACGUUUUCAGUUUUGUUUGCCUCUGAUUGACUCUGAAUUGCUGCCAAAAUGAUGUUUUAUUAUUCCAGUAUCAUCAUCCAACUCUCUGAUAUUAAUGAUACCUUUUUUAAAGUUUUUCUUCCCUUGCAGUAUCUAUUUCCCUCAAGUUUCCUUUUUUUUUCUUCUGUUGAUUUUGUGCUCUAUCUUUCACAUUAGAGGCUUUCCUAGGAUGUCUGGUGGUCCUUAUCUGCUCAUAUGUAAGUGGGGGUAUAUUUAAAAGUUGAUUGGAAGCUGUUGAGCCCAUGGGACGUUUGUUGAAAAUCAAGUGGGAGAGGAGGGGUAUGGAGGCUGCGGUAUGUCUCAGAAUUUAGUACAAUUUUCACUUAAUUCUCUUUGUUUUAGGUGCCUGAUGUCCUCCAUUACAGAGACCCCGUUUUACUCCUGAGCAAUAAAAAAAGGCUUCAGAAUAAGGCGGGGGCCGGGGGUGGCAUAAAGGAUAUAACACUCUCCUAAAUGAACUUCCAGUCCUUUUAGGUACCCUCUUCACUUCUACUUCCUGAAGCCAGUUUCUUAGUUUUUUAGGGGGUUCUGUGAUACAAAUAGAAUUGCUUGUUGGUUUUGCUCACUGGGGGUUUAGAAUUCAGGUUUUUCAAGUCAACUGAGCCCUUUGCUAUUGAUUCCAGAAUUUCAUUUCCAUUAUUCCUUUUCUUUAAUCCUUAAGGGUGUAUGACUUUAAAAAUCCUGUUACUGUCAUUUUCAGGGAGUCUUAGGGAGCAAAUGUAGAACACUAUGUUUAAGACAGCAUUUUUACCUGAUAAUCCAAGGUGAUCAUUCUAAAACAUAUACCAGAUCAGUCAUAGCAUUCUUCUAUGAGAAUAAGAAGCUUCAAUGAUCCCUCGUUGCCUGCAUAACAUUCAGACUCUUCAGCAAGGUAAACAAGAGAGUUCAUUUUCUUUCCAACCUGAUAUCUCACAGCAGGCCACUGCUCCCCCACCCAUCUUCCACAUUCCCCACACCUGAUACUGUAAACUCUAGUCAUAAUGAAAGGCUAGUAAGAGUUCUGAGAAUACAAAGUCCUUAUCAUGUUUCCACACCUGUUUUGGCUGGGCUCAGGCUGAAAUACCCUUCUUUCUCCAUGCCUGCUUGAUGAAAAUACAGCUUAAACAUGACUUCCUCAGUGAUGCCUUUCUUCAAGCCCUAAAGAAUAAUUUAUCCAGACUCCUCCAAACUCCAUCCCACGAACCCAUCAUACUCUUGGGAGGGGUCAUUUGUCAUGGGACCUGCAAAUUCUGGGUUUGCCAAGAAUGUAAGGUCCUAACUGCUCUUUACCUAGAUCAUUUUUCAGGGUUGUUUGGGAUGAUCAGUUUCAUAGCUGAAGUAUUCUUCCCAAAGAGUAGGCUUGCUUCCACUUAACUACAAAAGUAUGGAAUCCCCCAAACUCAGUAUUCCUCUCCUAUAAUGUAACCCACUGACUGCAUGUGCAGACAUCCAUGGAAGCCCAUCUUCACCAUCCUGGUGGGACUUGGGGGACAUGGAAAAUGCAUAAACAUGAAGUUCUGGCUUCUGCUUUUGCCAUAAAUUACAAAGUUCUUUGUCACCCAGGAAUCCAAGUUUACUGCCAUAAAACAGUUAACAGGCUAUCUUACUAACUUUAAAAUAGGUUUCAAUACCAGACCCUUCCCAGACAGCGACAUAUAUUUCUUACAGCAUCAGUUGUUACUGUUGCUGCAUUAUUUCCAAAUCUGACCUCCUAUACUAAAUAGCACCCUUAUAGCAGGGAUUCAUGUCUUAGGCGCUUGUUUCCCAAACUAUUUUUUUUUUUACUCAGCUCCAUCCACUUACACUGUUCCAGUUGCAGGGAAAUAUCAAAUGCCCACCCUGUACCCUGCUGAUAUUUUGUACCUUGACUGGCACACUCUACUUAUUUUAAGGCUUAUCUCUCAGUUGUCAAUGUCAUUGUUUCCUUAAAAAGUUCAAAAAUAAUUUGGAAAAUCCUUGACCCUACCUGAAACAAGGUUAGGUCCUCCUGUUAUGUGCUGUUGUACCACAUAUCACAGUUGGGAUAAUAAGGCAUUGUGUGAGUUACUCUAAGUGUUCAGCUGCUCAGGAGAAGGCAGAGAGCAAAUUAGUGGUUGAGUUUUUCAGGCUUGGUGUUUUGACAGGUGUAUUAGUCUGUUCUCACAUUGCUUUAAGUAAAUAUCUGAGACUGGGUAAUUUAUAAAGAAAAGAGGUUUAAUUGACUCGGUUCCACAUGGCUGGGGAGCCCUCAGGAAACUUAAAAUCAUGGUGGAAGGCACCUCUUCACAGGGCACGAGGAAAGAAUAUGUAACUAUGGAAGUACACUGGAAGGCCAGGAGUGGUGGUGGCUCACACCUGUAAUCCCAGCACUUUGGGAGGCCGAGGCAGGUGGAUCACGAGGUCAAGAAAUCAAGACCAUCCUGGCCAAUACAGUGAAACCGUCUCUUUGAAAAAUAUAAAAAUUAAUUUGGCAUGGUGACACACGCCUGUAGUCCCAGCUACUCUGGAGGCUGAGGCAGGAGAAUCACUUGAACCCAGGAGGUGGAGGUUGCAGUGAACCGAGAUUGCGCCACUGCACUCCAGCCUGGUGACGAAGUGAGACUCCAUCUCAAAAAAUAAAUAAAUAAAUAAAAAUAAACCUCACUGUUUGUUUUAACAAUAACAAGCGUGGUAAGGGUGGUGUCAGUCCAUAAGUUAGAUAGGCAGUUGCUAGGCAGAUGUCGUUGCAGAAGUAUGUGUGUGUGUGUGUGUGUUGUGUUUAAGGUUGUGGUGGCCUUUGUGCAGGUUGUAAAUUUUUGUAGUCUUUUGAUAGUUCUUGUUAUCAACCAUAUGUACAUGAGAACCCUUCCCCUUCAUGGCGUUUCCUGGCUCCGUUUGCCAGGGUUUUAAUACGAGUGACUCCAUUUUGAAUCUGACAACUUUCACAUUUCCCCUUUUGAUCAAGGUCUUUCUCAAAAGCAUCACUGAUCAAUCAUCCUGUAUUUAGGUUUUGAUAUCUCUUGGUGCCAGUCUGCCCUCAUGUUGAAGGGAGUCACUGGUAACUAGGAAUUAGCAUCAAAACCCUUUAGCCACAUUUGAACAACAAAAGAGGUUUGGAGGGAGUGGAUCUCAGGCUAAGUCUACCUGGAGUCCACUGUUAAGUUCAAUUCUGUCUGUUCCAUAGGCACUGUCUAUCAUCUCAAAGUGCUGGGAGAGCAUUAUUCUCUUAGGAGUUGCAUUUCUAUGCAAAUUUGACAAGAAACAGGUAUAAAGUUCUUAAAAAAAAAAAAAAGAAAAUACAAAGUAACAAUCUCAGCAUAAUAGUUUUCAGCCGUGAACCUAGGCUUAAAGACAACCAGUUGAAUAAAUCAAAUGAUCAUGAAGAAUUAGGUGAGACUUAUUAUACCAUGUGGGCUAUUUUCUUAUUUUGUGUAUAUAAAUUCCCCAAAGGAAUGUAUCCAGGUACAGCAUGUAGUAUGAGCAAAAGCACAGACAUCUCUUUGUUUAGCUGGUACACAGCAAUCCUAUUACUUAGCAUUCCAUGACUGGCUUGAAUUAAAGCAGAGAGAGCUAACUCUGUUUUAAAAAAGACCAUUAGUACAAUUUGAACAAAAAGUUUACUGAGGAUGUUGCCAGUAUUACCCCCUGGGUGGACUAAAGGAUUUAUGAAGUCAGAUUCUGUCAAGUCACCCACAAUAUCUACCGAUUGUGAAAUUAUCCUGCCAAAUCAAAGAGGUAGGCAUAAACAAGGAAGAAUUAAGAGGGGCAAGAGUGUCAUUAGGAUGGGGAGUUAUGUUCCAUCAUCUUGGGAAAAGCUGCCCACAGUAUGGAGAUGUUAGCUUUUCAUUCUGGUUUACAGUUUUAAUGUCUCUGGUUAUAGCAUUGGGCAGUUUUGUGAACCUUUGGGCAUGAGAUUUCUCCCUUAAAAUUCAGUUAAGUUUGAGCUUGGGCUUUAAGAACAUAGCAAGUCUCGUUUUUAGUAAUUCUAUGGAAGAAAGUUGGAUUGGAGGAACCUAGAAGAAUUAAAGAUCCAGUCCAGCGACCAAGGUUUACCUAGUUGCACAGAAAUUUUCUUAACACUGGCAGGUGCCCUACUAGUAAUCUUUCUUGUCUGUGACCAGUUUAUCCUUAACAUGGGAGACUUUUUCUUUGGAUACCUUCAAUAUUUUCAGAGUGGUAUUUUCAGAGUGGUGCCUUUCACUUAGUUAAUAUGCAUUUAUGUUCCUUCUGUCAUUUAAUGGCUUGAUUGCUCAUUUCUUUUAAGCACUGAAUAAUAUUCUAUUGUCUGAAUGUACUACAGUUUAUCUAUUCAUUUACCUACCCACCCUGACACUUUGAAUCUAAUCCUGCUCUUCCAUGACACUCCCUCUUUCCCCAUAGUGCUUCCUAGGAACUUGCCACGAUGUAGUGCUUACUUAGUACUGCUUUUCUAAUUACUUAAUUUGUCCCUCAUAGUCAACCAGCAGUUUUGCCUGGUUCAUAAGAGAUGGCCUAUUUAUUGAAAUGCCUGGAUCAGAGAAAUAAGAUAUGACUAGCUGGUGCCAAGAAUGGAGCCUGGAAGUUGUCUCCAUGCUGUUUACCAUAAAGCACUAACUAAAGUCACUAUUUAAAAAAAAAAAAAAAAGGACACACAUAU